UACAGAGGUCUCAAGCGUUGUUCGGAUUCAUUGGGCGUAAAGGGUGCGCAGGCGGCCAUGUGUGUGAGGCGUGAAAGCCCGGGGCUUAACCCCGGAAUUGCACCUCAAACUACAUGGCUAGAGCAUUGGAGAGGGUAGCAGAAUUCAUGGUGUAGCAGUGAAAUGCGUAGAUAUCAUGAGGAAUACCAGAGGCGAAGGCGGCUACCUGGACAAUUGCUGACGCUCAGGCACGAAAGCGUGGGGAGCAAAAGGG
rnacentral:rRNA from 1 species